UUAGCAAGUGAUGAAUCUUGUGCAUAGAACAGCCUAGGACCUACCAGAAUGAACUUGUGGAAGAGAGCUAUGGCAUAGGAGCAGGAGAAAGUACAAGUUAGGGGGCAGUUUGCUCAGCACCUCUGUUUUUAGUAAGAUCAAUGGGAUAUAAGGCGUAUUUAUUUGUUUGUUUAUUUAUUGAGACAGGGUCUUGCUUGGUUACUCAGGAUGGAGUGCAGUGGUGCAAUCUUGGCUCACUGCAGCCUUGACCU